rnacentral:pre_miRNA from 10 species
UAUGCCUCUGGUCAAAUGUGCUGCCUACUGUGGUGGCUGCUUAUGCACCAUGGAUGUGUGACCAUGAACUGUGUAUUUAC